rnacentral:rRNA from 1 species
AUGGAAGGAGUCCGGGUGAGUGCCGCCACGGGGGUCCUGAAAUCCCUCCUCUGCAAGCUCGCCGCACUCCUAGAGGGGGAGUACAAGAUGCACAAGGGCCUGAGGCGCGACAUCGCCUUCCUCAAGGACGAGCUGAGCAGCAUGAACGCUCUCCUGGAGAAGCUGGCCGAGGCGGAGGCUCUCGACACACAGCUCAGGGAGUGGAGGGACCAAGUGAGGGAGAUGGCCUAUGAGAUUGAGGAUUACAUCGACAGGUACAUGAAUCACCACAUCCACCGUGAUCCGGACAAGCCUAACGCUGUCAUGGGGCUCUUUUGGAAGGGCGUCUGCAAGGUGAAAAGCUUUGGAGCUCACCAUGAGAUGGCAGUGCAAAUCAAAGAACUCAAGUCCCGCAUCAUCGAGGCAAGUCAGCGCCAUGACAGGUACAGGCUUGAUGCGAUGGUCUGUUCUGCGAGCUCCAAUGCUGUGCGCACUGACCCUCGGUUGCCUGCCCUCUUUGUGGAGGGAGCCAGCCUUGUUGGGAUUGAAGGUCCAAAGGAUGAGUUAAUUAAGUUGGUCACGGAUGAGGAGGUCUCACUGAAGGUUGUUUCUCUCAUAGGCUUUGGAGGGUCGGGGAAGACAACUCUUGCUAAUCAAGUAUACCAAAAAGCUGGUAGACUGUUCAAUUGCCAAGCUUUUGUGUCGGUGUCGCAAAAUCCUGACAUAAGAAAGAUUUUGCGGUCCAUGCUCUCUCAAAUAAGAAAGGAAGACUUUCCCAUUUCUCGAUCGAGUGAUGAGGCGUGGCUCAUCAACUCAAUGAGAGAUUUCUUGAAGGACAAGAGGUAUCUUAUAGUAAUUGAUGAUAUAUGGAGUAUCCAAGCGUGGAAGACUAUCAAGUGCGCCUUGCUUGAAAAUUCCUGUGGUAGUAGAAUAAUAGUGACAACACGAAAUGUCAGUGUUGCCAAGUCAUGUUGCUUCCCUCGCCUUGACCUUGCAUAUGAAUUAAGGCCUCUGACUGAAGCUGAUUCGAAAAUCUUGUUCUUUACAAGAGUUUUUGGCUCUGUGGAAAAAUGCCCACUUCACCUGAAUGAAAUUUCAACUGAGAUCAUAAAAAAGUGUGGUGGUUUACCAUUGGCAAUCAUCACAAUUGGUAGUUUGUUGACCACAAAAUCAGAUAGCAGAGAAGACUGGGUCAGGGUUCGAAAUUCGAUUGGUCGAGGACUUGAGAAAAACCCUCAUGUGGAGGAAAUGGAAAGGAUCUUAUCACUUAGCUAUAAUGAUCUUACUCUCCAACUGAAGACCUGCCUGCUGUAUUUAAGUAUGUAUCCGGAAGAUUAUGAGGUCCAAAUGGAAGAUUUGGUGAGGAGGUAG